CCUUUUUUAAAAGAUAUGUGAUAGGUGACAACUCGCGCGAGGCGAGUUUGUCCCGUUGGAAGGCUCUUUUAACAGCCGAGCGGCCUUGGACUCGGGCGGUAGUCAGGCUUUCGAGCACCCUGGCCCAUUCGCGUUUCAAUAAUAAAUUUACGUUAAUUAUAAGUUGACACUCAAUAUCGUUCUUGUAAAACAAAUAAUUAAACGUUUAUAACGUUUUUUGGUUAUUUGUUUUAAGCAAAUUCGUAAUGGCUACUCUCUCCGAUAUAGCGGGGAAGCAUAUGAAUACACUUAAACUUGUUUUACAAUCAUAAUAUUUAUUCUAAUUUCUUUCGCAACAUAAGUAGGUUGAACAAAAUAGUAGUAGCAUAUAAAUUCGCAGACGCGUAAUUUUUGUCUCGCGCUGUCUAGGAUUUUUCCCGUUACAUAAAAUUAUAAUAGUAUUACUUACUAUAUAUUAGUACAAUCAAUGCAAUUUGGUUCAAGUUAUUAUUUGGUUUGUGAUAUGGCCAAUCACCUUUCCGUUUUAUCUGGUCAAAUUCAAUCGGUCCAAUGAGUUUUUACUAUGGUGUAGUAAUGUGCAGGACAAUGAUAGUCGCUAUAACUUUAUUUCUCUAGUAUCCUCCUGAUCCGACAAUGUAACAACACGCAGGAAAAAAAUGAUUCCCGUAAUUUUCUAUUUAUACAAAAUUAUUAAAACAAUCGUGCUUGAUACUUCUAAUACACUCAGACUUCUAUUACAGUUUUAAUUUCCGUAGAAAAAUAUGCGGCCUUCUUAAUUGAGCGCUCGCUUCUAACUGACUGAUUCCGCCUGCUCUGCCUUCGCUGGUUUAUUAUAUAGCCUUUGUCCUUACCAUGCCGUCUCUCUCCGAAGCGUAUACGCUUCGGAUGUUUUCGCUUCUCGUGGCGGGUCGUCUUACCUAGCUAAGCACGCGGACUGCAGCGUGCAGUCCCAGCAUGCCGGCUCAGCGUGAAUCAGCCUCCGCCGCACAUUCCCACCAAGUCGCGCACAUGAGUAGCGUCAGCUAUACUAUGUCCGAACGGAAAUCUCGGGUCCGAAAUAUUAUUAAGCAAAAUACAAUUAUAAUCCAAUGAAGUGUCACGUAACAAUAUGUGACAGUGGAGGACAGAUUUUCCUUUAUAUUUAUUCUGAAUAUUUUCUUAAUAUUGUAAAUAUUUCUUACAUAUUCAGGAUGUUACAUAUGUAGCUUCUGACAUUAAUACAAAAUUGAAAGACCGCCAGAUUAGGAAUUUAGCUGCAGACAAGAAGGAAUUAGAAAAAAAAACAAAAGCUUGAAGGAAGAAAAUAAGAAAUUAAAAAGUAAAAUAUUGGAGUUGCAAUCUAAAAAUGAGAAAUGGGAAGAAAAUACUCAAGCAGAUAUAAAAAAAAUUCUUGCGUCAGACGGAAUGCUGGACGUUCCAGUGCCAUUUGAUGCAUUUCAAUAUGAUUGUACUUUUAGAACAAAAGAAAGCUAUUGCAGAUUAUGGACAAUCAAUGGAUCCAAAGCUCAACCACAUGCCCUGUGGUUAUGUAGAAAAAGAUAGACAAAUUCCAACUCUCCUUCUACAUUUGUUGGCAGUGUAUUGUUGGUAGUUUUUGGGUCUGAGGUUCUGAAAAAAAGUACGAUCACAGGUCGAAUAAGUAACAGAACUAUUGGAAAAAACAGCAAGAAAGAAAAGAAUGAAGAACAAAAUGAAAAGAAUGCUGAUUCUGCAGAAGGACCAUCAAAGUUAGAUGCAAAAUUAUUGAAUGCUUGCAAAGAGUAUUAUGAUCAUUGGCUAGAAUUCCAUUACGAAAAACAGUUAUCAAAAACCAAAUUAAGAGAGUAUGAUAGAGCAUGCGAAAUUAGGAAUUUUCGAGACUAUGCGACGCACAAAAUUUCUAGUUUGAAGAAAUCUUCUUCAAAAAAAUUGAAGAAUAUUAACGAUGACAUUGAUCCAUUGGCUUUGGGUGAAUUAGAGGGAAUGGAGAAUCAUAAUACCAGCCAGAGUAAUGACUUGCAUCAAUUAGACACUGAUGUGCAGGCCUCGAACGAUACCGAUGAAACCUUUUUUGAUGAGUCGAUUUUAGAAUCGUCUUCUGAUGAAGAUAUAUUUAAUUAGAGUAUUAAUAUUUAUAUUAUCUUAAUUGAAGUUUAAUUUUAGUUUAUUUAAUUAUUUAGUUAAGUAUUCAUGGUAUAUUCAUAUAUCAUCACAAUUGAAGUUUUUGUAAAGGUG